GAGAGAGUAGCAUGGUGGUUUGAGUGUUGGACUAAGACUCUAGAGACCAGGGUUCAAAUCCUUGCUCAGCCA